rnacentral:rRNA from 1 species
AUUGAACGCUGGCGGCAUGCUUUACACAUGCAAGUCGAACGGUAACAGGUUAAGCUGACGAGUGGCGAACGGGUGAGUAAUGCAUCGGAACGUGCCCGGUCGUGGGGGAUAACGCAGAGAAAGCUGCGCUAAUACCGCAUACGAUCUGAGGAUGAAAGCGGGGGACCGUAAGGCCUCGCGCGAUCGGAGCGGCCGAUGUCAGAUUAGGUAGUUGGUGGGGUAAAGGCUCACCAAGCCAACGAUCUGUAGCUGGUCUGAGAGGACGACCAGCCACACUGGGACUGAGACACGGCCCAGACUCCUACGGGAGGCAGCAGUGGGGAAUUUUGGUCAAUGGGCGAAAGCCUGAUCCAGCAAUGCCGCGUGCAGGAAGAAGGCCUUCGGGUUGUAAACUGCUUUUGUACGGAGCGAAAAGGUCUCCUCUAAUACAGGGGGCUCAUGACGGUACCGUAAGAAUAAGCACCGGCUAACUACGUGCCAGCAGCCGCCGUAA